AUUUAAAAAUAAAGCAAACACUAAAAAUAAAUUAUAAUUAGAACAGAAAAAAAAAAACCUAUUAAAUUUAUUUUCAAGGUAAUAAAUGUUAAGAUCACCUAUAUUACAGCUGAGUUUGUGAGUUGCAAGGAUGUUGUCAGAGGUAUGGGUUUGUCUUCAGAUUUCGUUCCAUUUUCCCGUUUUUCUUUUUUUCUUUCUUUUUUUUUUUUUGCUCUCUAUAAAUCUAAUAUUUUGCAACAUAUUUAUAUCAUACAUGCAUACAUAUAUAUGUUUGUGUGUGUGUAUGUAGAUACAUAUUAGGUUCUUCAUCAGAAGUCUGAGACAACCUGUUGUACAAUUAACAAGUUGAUUAGUGGGCGGGGUGUACAGAGUAAAAUAUUGUCAUGUAUGUAUAUGGCUUGCAGUGGCACCAAUAUUUUAGAACUCUUUAUUCUCAGGGGCACUGGGAAGAAUCAUUUGGUACCACCAUGGACCACUUGUGUGUGUGUGCAGCAUGUAUGUAUGUAUGUAUGUGUGUGUGUGUGUGUAUAUAUAUAUAUAUAUAUAUAUAGCCCUAUACAUGUGCAUGCACAUAUACAUAUAAUUGAUUAUUAGUUUCCUUUUUUGAUUAAUUAUUCUUAUGUUAAUAUGAAAAAUACCCAGUUGUCCCAAAUUUAUUUCUGCUUCUGUGUUUCAUUCAAAGAUGGUGCUUUUAUAUGAAGUUUAGAAAGGAACAGGGAAGACCGUCAAUCCUGGUCAAUGUUCAGCUCUGAUGAACCCCUGCGACUGAUGUUGCGUAUUUUAACAAUAAGGUUUUAUGACAAUACCUGCCAUCUUUGAAAUAGAACCUAAUUGUGGAAGCAAUUUCUUAAUGAGAUAUUUACUCUAAUUUACUUAUUUAUCAUUUUUAAAUAUUCAACUUAUUAGAUCAGUUCUUUCCUCAAUUUUAUUUUAUUUUAUUUUGCAUAUUUCACAGGAAACGUAAAACAAUAUUUUAUCUAUUUUGUUUUAUUUUAUUUAUUUUCCUUUAAAAUUUUCUAAUUAUUGAUGCUAGUGAUUGCUCAUCAGUUUAUAUAUUGUUGAUGUCAAGAAUUUUCUAAACUUUCAAAAGAUUGUAAAAUAAUUCUUUGUUUGGAACAGUGGGUCUCGAAGCAUCUAAAGCUAUAAAUAUACCAUGUAAAUAAAUAUUGGAUUGAAAAACACUUGGAUAGAAAAAGUUGUUGGCAGCCUGUGGGAAUCGAACCCACAUCUCCUGUGGACAUGACAGGCAUUCUACUAUUGAACCAAAGCAGUUCUUCAAAUUUCUCAAUCCAUUUUAGAAACUUUAUUCUUACUAGCAAAAAUUGUAUAUUGUUGAUGUUAUAAUAAUUUUGUGAAUUUUUGAGAGGAUGUGAAAUAUUCUUUUUUAGAACAGUAGGUCUCAAAGCACGGCUGUAAAUAUUGGAUUGAAAACCCAUUUUGGACAGAAAAAGUCAAAAGUCUGUCUGUGGGACUCAAACCUACGUCUAUUACUUAUAGCUUUAUGUGCUUUCAGAUCCCCUUUUCCAAAAAAUGAAUGUAAUUUUUUUUUUUUUUAAUUACAGUUUAGUCUAGGCUUCUGUGACAUUUAAAAUCAAUUGUGACAUUUGCCUAUCGGUUUAUUGUAUAUAAAAAUCUACCUCAGGUAAAUAUUUGCUAAAUUGAACAUUAGAAAACAAAGUUUUCCUGUCAGUUUUCAGGGAACGAAUAUAUUCUUUCUAAAAAAAAUUUUUUUGUUAAAGAAUACACUUUUCUACCACCACCACUACUGCUGCUGCUACAGCCAUUACUACUACUACUACCACCACCACUGCUACUACUACUUAUCUGUUGGUUUGCUGUUCUUUAGAAUUGUACUGGCAACACAAUUCUUUAUAGUGUUUUUUCUCUACUAAAUUAGGAAUCGGUUAUUUUGAUUAAACUGUUUAAUAAAAUGAUAUCCAGUAGCUUACUGUAGCCAUCGCAGUUCCCUUUAAACUAAUUAUUAUAGUUGUAAUUAUUAUGUUGGUAAAACUAUUUCUGAACAGGACAACCUUUUAUGUGGGUAAAGUGGCAGAAAUAUGAGAACCUCUGAUGAAAUAACUUGAGGUAUUUAUUUCAGCUUCUUGCAUUGCGAGUUCAGUUCCCUCUGAGGUCAUUUUUUGCCUUUUAUCCUUCUGGGGCUCAAUAAAUAAAGUACUAAUCUGCAACAGCAGAUUGAUGGAAUUGUGUUGGAUGGGCUGAUUUUGUUGUAUUUAUUCUGGCUCUUUGCAUUCUGAGUUUAAACCUGUCGAUGGCCUUCUUGGGUGUGAGACUUAAUCUAUUGUUUGGUUUACGGUGUCACACCACAACCUUUACUAAAGGCCCACCUUGGGUGCUUUUAGCAGAGCCUACACUUUUGGAUGCAAUCAAGCCUGGUUUCUAGUUUGACAGUAGGAGACCUUCCCCUACCGUCCCUUCCUCGCUCCCUCUGUCUUGCCAAUCUCAGAACAUGAGCACUGCUUUUCCUCCUCAGUAAACAGUUUAUUAAUAGAUAAAUCCUAACCAAUAUUGUCUUCAGAUAAGAUUAGAUUGUCAAACAAAGUUCCUAACAGACUUCACUCAUUGUAGUUUUUAAAAUUAUUUAAUUCCAAUUUUUCUAGUUGAAAUUUUGUGAUGGUUUUAUCUGCUGUGAUCUCCUCAUUUGUCUAAUUUAAAUAUGAAGACUUGAACAUUUUGUUAUUCAGGUAUUUCCAUUAUUUGAUCUGACAAACCUAUUUCUAUUCUUGUUUGAAUUGUCAAUUUACAAGUGUUCAGAUGAAAUCUUUGUUAAUAACAUACAAUGUCUAUCUUAGGCUUCCAUUAACACAGUUAUCUAUCCAUAGAGACCUUCUAUCUAGUCCUGCUUUCAUUUGAGUAUAUAGAUUUCACCACAUCAUCCUAUGACCUUCAUGGUGGGCCACAUUGAAAUUAUAAUAUUUAUGUAUGACUUUACUAUUAUUCCAUAACAGAACCAGGAGAUAUAUUCCAUUAUGGCUCUAUUAUUAUAUUCUAUUAUGUUGGCUCCACAAUAUGGCCAACAGGUUUGUGUUAGAUAUUUUGGCAAUGUUACCAAUCCUAGCAGUUUUACCUGAAGCUUUUAGUUUCUUCUGUCUUUAGCUGUUUAGUAUCACCAUCAAAGUAUUUUUGUAAUAACUUACUUCUUAGUUUGUGUGAAAAACUAAUAAUGUGUGUGUAUAUAUAUAUAUAUAUAUAGUACAACCAGUCAUAUGAUGAGUAACUUAGGAAGUAUACUUUUGUCACCAUGGGUAAUGUCCCUUGACUGCUAGGGAUAGGUAUUGACAAUUCUAAUGCUGAUGACACCUAUUGAGGCAGAAACAGAGAAACUUGUUGUAUCCUUGAGCAAGGCACUUAAUUCCAUGUUGCUCUAGUCUAUUCUGCUGACACUACCAGCCUUGUGCUGUAGAAAUUGUCUCUCUCUCUCUCUCAGAUUCUUCUAAGUCAAAAGUGUUGCCGGUUUGUGAUAAUGCAGGUACCUAAAACAAUUUGUGCAAGUAUGGUACAAGUUACUAUGGUUAUACCAUACUUGCAUGUGAGCGACAGCCAAGCUUUUGUAUGCUCAAUAAUUAUGCAAUAUAUAUAUAUAUGUGUAUAUACAUAUACAAUGAUUGUGUGUUAAGGUGUUGAGCUAGUGGGUCAGAUACUAACAAGUUCAAACUUGGUUGACUUCUGUUAUUGUGCCACAGUGCAAGGCCCAUAACUCUGGCUGCUCCACAUUGAAUACCUUCGAACUGGAAAGGCAUUCAGCCAAGGUAUGUGUCUUUCAACAUAGGAAGCAAUCACAUUUCUCAUACAGUCUCACUCUCUUCUGCUCACCUCACAUAUUAAAUCACGAUUUUGCGACCUAAAAUAUUUUUCCUGGCAAUAAUGAUAACCUAAAUUAUAUUUGAAAACAAUCAAAAUAGUAGUUGGUGAGUUGUGAAUCUUUUUUAAGGUUUAAUAGAAAAUAGAAUAAAAAUUAGAGGGAUUAUGAAUUGUGAUCCUUAAUUACCACAAAAUAUUUGGUCUGAAAUUGGUGAAGAUUUUUUUAUUUUUUAUUGUAUUUCUUCCAAACACUGCCAGGUCAUGGCACAGUUUGUGAACACGUUGCAAUUUAACUCUCUUCUCGUUACAACUGUGUAGGUAUAAAGCAUAUAGUUAAACAUUUGUUUUUCAUGUAAAAUACCAGAAAAGGCUAACACAUUCUUAUAGAGUUUUGUGGAGCAUUCUGUGUGUGUGUACUUGCUUAGAGAUAGCGAAAAAGAUAGUUGUUGGAUUUGUAGCAGGGUUUUAUGAUCAUGUCUACUUUUUUCAUUAUCAUCAUCAUCGUUUAACAUCCGUUUUCCAUUCUAGCAUGGGUUGGACGGUUCGACUGGGGUCUGGGAAGCCAGGAGGCUGCACCAGGCUCUAAUCUUGAUUUGGCAGA
rnacentral:tRNA from 1 species